rnacentral:rRNA from 1 species
UUCAACCUACCCUUGGGACGGGGAAAAUCUCGGGAAACUGAUAAUAAUCCCCGAUAGGUGAGGGACGCUGGGAUGUCCCCUCGCCCAAAGCUCCGGCGCCCAAGGAUGGGACUGCGGCCUAUCAGGCUGUUGGUGGUGCGACGGACCACCAAACCUACGACGGGUACGGGCGAUGGGAGUCGGAGCCCGGAGAUGGGGACUGAGACAAGGCCCCAGGCCCUACGGGGCGCAGCAGGCGCGAAANCUCCGCNUGCGCGCAAGCGUGACGGGGGGACCCCAAGUGCCGUUGGUCUUUUGAUCGGCGGCUUUUCGGGAGUCUAAGANCUCCAGAAUAGNGCUGGGUAAGCUGGAGCCGCCGCCGCGGUAANACCAGCAGUCCAAGUGGUGGUCGCGAUUAUUGGGCCUNAGCGCUCGNNGCCGGGCUAGCAAGUCCCUUGUNNAUCGGGCCNNNCNCGGUUCGGCGUGCAAGGGAUACUGUUGGUCUUGAGGCCGGGAGAGGUCGGAGGUACUCCUGGGGUNNCGGUGNAAUGCUCNNAUCCUGGGGGGACCACCAGUGGCNNNNGCGUCCGNNCAGAACGGACCUGANGGUGAGGAGCGAAUGCUAGGGG